AUCCAGCUGACGAGUCCUAAAAUAGGAUGAUACGCGCAUCCUGGAA
rnacentral:hammerhead_ribozyme from 1 species